GAGGGUAAAGUUCAGUGGUAGAAUGUAUGUUUAGAAUGCAUGAGGUCCUGGAUUCAAUCUCCAGUACUUUCA
rnacentral:tRNA from 1 species